GUGACCUCGAAUCAGGUAGAUG
rnacentral:rRNA from 1 species